GACAUCCACCAACGAAGCACCAAUUCCACACAUCCAAAUACGCCAACUAAAAAAAUUUCCAAAGAGAGUGGACCAUUCAUGUUGUUAUCCUAAGAACUAUUGAGUCAUCUUAUGAGAACAACAAAGGAUCAGGAAAACUACUAAAAAUAAUUUUUGCCGACUCAGAGGGGAAAAAAAUACAAGGUAUUAUGUUUGGAGAAACUAUUGAAAUGUAUAAGCACAUGCUUCAGAAGAAUCAUGUUCUUUACAUCUCAAAUGGAGAAGUCAAACUAAUAAACCCGCUUUAUGGAAAUGUACAUGAGUCAAUUGAGUUGACAUUGACUAAAAACAUUUCUAUCAAAGAAUCAAAUGCAAAGUUUCAAUUUGAUAAGAUAUUGAACAACUUUAUCUCAAUCAAAGAGGCAAUUUCCAACGAGAAUACAAGGAAUAUAAAUGUUCUUGCAAUGAUAGCAAAUGUCAAGCCUAUGAUCAAGUACGUUACAAGAUAUAAUAAGGCGGACACAAGGCGGG